rnacentral:lncRNA from 1 species
GACGAGACACCAGAUCUGUGUAACAAGGCCUGUGAGGCGGCGCGGAGGAGCCGUGCGGGACCUUCUGCAGACAUUCAGCGCUGGUCAGUGCUGCGGGGCUUCUCCUCGGCUGCAGGAGGUGGGUGUGCCUCUGACAGGUGGGGUGCUCUUUGCUUUUUUCUUCUUUUUUUUUUUUUCCUGGAGGAUUACAUAAGCACAGAGUUCGAGGCGGGCUCUCUGAUAGUCAAGGUUAAAACACGUUGUCUGCGCUCCACCGUGAGGGCGGGGCGGGCACCCCCCGGCACCCCCCAGCACCCCGCUCCCCUCCCCACCCCCCAGGCGGCGGCUGCACCCACGUCCCGCCGGGGCCGGUGGGGACUUGGGGCUGCGCCUCCGCGGCUCGGGGCAGGUCAGCCCGCGAACGUGGCCGGACCCGGGGCCCAAACCCAGCGCUCGCCACGCAGCCGGGCGCGUCUCGUCCGAUGCGCACGCCGAGCGCGAGUAGCCUCGGCUUGCAAAACCAAAAAAAAAAAAAAAAAAAAAAAGUGCAGACUCGGAGCUGGGGGGGUUGACGCAGCUCGUGCCCCCCUACCCACCCCCGCACCCCCGGCUCCGGGGCUCGUGCACACGCGGGCCCCCCGACAGGUCCCGGGUCCCGGCCCCGGGCGAGGAGGCAGGGAGGCUGGGGCAGGUCGAGGCAGCGCCCCCGCCCCUCCCGCGGCCGCGAGCCCAGCCCGACGUGCAGGCGGCCCGCCCCCAAACCCAGACGUCUGCAGGAGGACAAGCCUGGGCAUCCCCGCCCCCGCCCCCGCCCCGGGACCCGGAGCGGGCGGCGCACGCAGUCCGGGCGGCCCCCUUGCACGCCCCCGUCCCCCCACUUCCCGCCCAGCCGCACACUUUGCAAACUCCGCAGGAGCCCGGGCCCAGCGGGGGGAGCAGGGCGCCCGCGGCCUCCGGGCGCUGCGCAGCCAGGCUCGCCCCGCAGCGCCAGCGGGGCACUAUAUUUAGCGCCGAGCUCUCCGCCUCAAUUCCUCUUCUUUUUUUGCACCCCGGGCUCCCAGAACGACUAGGUCGGGGGAAGCGGGAGGGGGGGGGGGGGCGGGGAGCAGCGGGGAAAGAACAGCUGCGCCUCCGCCCCCCGCUCGAGCUCCGCAGGCGCCAAUCGCGAGCCGAGGCUACUUUUCCGCCAAUGAAGCGGCCGCAAGUGCGGGAGCCUCGGCGGCAGCCAAUGGGGCCCCGGCCGGGGCGGCGAGACGGGCGCGGCGGGGCCAAUGGGGCCCGAGGCCGGGAGAGGUAAUGUGAGCCGCGCGGUGGCUGCGCGGGCCCCAGCUUCCUAUUUCUAAGCCCGAAA